rnacentral:misc_RNA from 1 species
GUUGGAUUCAGGCACACUAAAAGAUGGGCUUAUUAUCCUCAGCAACCCAUGUCGACAUGGCAUAGAGCACCCGUCCCUUCCACCCAAGCAGCAACCAACGGUUAUCCUCAUCGAUGAGAAAGUCUCUGUGAUAAUAGUUCUUGACCUUGUCCCUGGAAGCCUUGACAACCUCUGGAUUCAGUGGCAGCUGCCUCAGCCCAGCCCUGUGGUUUCGCACUUGCCAUUGCUUAUAAGUUUCAGGCCGUUCCACCCUGUCUGCACCCUCACAAGCAAUCACAUUCAGGGCAAAUGUCCCAAAGAUAUCCCGCUCGAUCAGCAGCCGU